rnacentral:misc_RNA from 1 species
UUUCCGUAGGUGAACCUGCGGAAGGAUCAUUAUCGAGUUUUGACUGAGUUGUAACUUUCCCUCCGACGCAUGUGCACGCGCUCCUCAUCGACUCUACACCUGUGCACUUACCGAGGGUGUCCGCCCGUGACGCGUGCGCUUUUACUGGAGCUCGUGAUGCGUGUCUGUGCCAGUGUUUAUCACAAAAACUAUAAAAUCUCAGAAUGUGUAUUUCGUUGUGACGCAUAUAGAUACAGCUCACAGCAGCGGAUGUCUUGACUCCAGCAUCGAUGAAGAACA